rnacentral:rRNA from 1 species
GACGAACGCUGGCGGCGUGCUUAACACAUGCAAGUCGAACGGAAAGGCUCCAGCUUGCUGGAGUACUCGAGUGGCGAACGGGUGAGUAACACGUGGGUAAUCUGCCCUGCACUCUGGGAUAAGCCUGGGAAACUGGGUCUAAUACUGGAUAUGACCUUUCUCCUUAUGGGGUUUGGUGGAAAGUUUUUCGGUGUAGGAUGAGCCCGCGGCCUAUCAGCUUGUUGGUGGGGUGAUGGCCUACCAAGGCGACGACGGGUAGCCGGCCUGAGAGGGUGAUCGGCCACAUUGGGACUGAGAUACGGCCCAGACUCCUACGGGAGGCAGUAGUGGGGAAUAUUGCACAAUGGGCGGAAGCCUGAUGCAGCGACGCCGCGUGAGGGAUGACGGCCUUCGGGUUGUAAACCUCUUUCAGCAGGGACGAAGCGUAAGUGACGGUACCUGCAGAAGAAGCACCGGCUAACUAUGUG